rnacentral:tRNA from 1 species
UUAGUAGCUCAGCUGGUCCCGAAAACUUUCGGGACGCUACCAUGGCAUGGUAGAGGUCAUCGGUUCGACUCCGAUAUUCUCCA